rnacentral:lncRNA from 1 species
AAUGUUGAAAGUUAAGGAUUGACAUGAGAUAUGUGCAUUGAAGAUUCACUGGAUUAGUAAGACUGAAAGAUGAUUUGAUCAGUUUUUGUUCUGUUUUGAUGGUCUUUUGUUAAAUUUCAGUUAGAAUAUAUCCAUUCUGAUUUUGGAAUUUCGAUUCAAAUUCUUUUCAUUUUGAAUGAUGGACAUCAAUUUGGUUUGUACGAAAUGAAUAUAAUUAUUCAUCAACAGCCUAAGAGGUUGGAUGCACCUCAAUGGUUGUUCAUAUUCUUUGAUGCUUAACAUUCCUUUGUUGAUUUAUAUUUUUUGAACCACUAAUUGAAAACAAAUUCAACAUGGUUAUAUCAACAAGUAUUACAUGCACCUGGGGAUCUCAUUUUAUGCAUAGAAAGUUCAUCUUUGAACAAUGAUAUAACCAACUAAUAUGUUAAAGAAUUCGACAGUAAAAAUCAAAUAUAGUGGCAAAAAUUAUCGGGAAAGGAAUUGGCGUUUCAUAACACAGAAAGCAUCUCAAUUUUCUUGUAAGAUUUGUCGUUUAUAGAGAUGAUCUUGGAACAGGCAAAAGAAAAGUAUUGCUAAAAGCAACGAGACAAGGAAAUUUUUAUUCAUGCUCACUCAAUGGAUGAAGAAACAUAAACAAAUGUUAAUAUAAGAAAAGUAAAUUAAAGAACUGUGUAUUUAUGAAGUAGUAAUGCCUGUCUAUAGCAUGAUAAUGAGAAUUGAAAUUGCAGUUAUGUACAAUGUAGAUUGAAGAAGGGCAUGCAUUCAUCAAAAUAUUAACAUUAUCUAGAGAAUGAGAAUGUUAAUGAGUAUGGAAGAAGCCUUUAAUGAACACGUGUUGUACGGACAAAAGAAAACCAAGAGCAAUAGUUUAACCUAGAGCAGGAAUAUCACCUGUGUAAGAGGGUAAAUCAGCUCCAUUUUGUAGCUUUGAUGGAAAGGGUGGAGCAGGAGGGGAAUGGCGCUUCAAUUGAUUACAAGUUUGAGUGAUCAUUUUCUGAUGACAUUUGUGAAAAAUAUUCAAACCGCGAAAAGUUGGAACUACUUUUCCAGUGCUUCAACUAAAGUUCAAUGCAUUCAUAAGAGAUUGAAAAGUUACGAUACCAAUUUAAGGUUCUAUUUAGCCAAUUUAUUUUGAUUCAACAUACGAAAUUAUACAAUUAAAAACAACAAGUCACUUUUAAAUUGUUUCUAAAUGGUUAAACAUACAAUAUACGUUGAACCGUCACAAUUUGUAAUAUGAAAGCAAUAAAUAACACCAGAAUUGAUAACGGAAAAAUCCAACUAGGUAAAAACUUCAGGACCAAUCCAGUAACCUCCACUAUAGACAAUGAUGAAUUUACAGCACAAUUCAAUCUAGAAAAAAUUUCACUAGGCUCGUUGAUCUACUUUCUGCAAUCUCCAAGACCCGCUAGAACGUGCUUCACUCACACUUAUCUCCAAUCUUCUAGAAUUGUUUGUUUCAUGUGGAUCACCAAAAAGAGCUUGUUUUUGUAUUAUUCCUAUGCUUCUGGUCCAACCCCCCUCAAUAUCUUUAGCAACCUCUAAAAGCUAUUGAGAACGUACCUUCCUGUAUGUGUAUAGAAAGUGGGUGUUUUAGAUUAUAUGAACUUGAUGUUUUUCCCAAAGUUGUGGUUGUAUGAACUCAAGAAUCAAAGGAUCAAUGUAAAGCUUGAUUGUGUACUUGAAUCUUUGAAUGAUGUUAUGAAGUACAAAUACAAUGAACAACCACACAAAAAAAAAUUAAAAAAAUGUCAUGGAUACAAAAUGAGUUAGAAAGUGAUGGAAAACUGUAUAUAUUCAGAUGAACGGCAAGUAAUAUCAAGAAAAAAAGAAAGAAAGAAGACCAGCACUAAGACUGAUUUGCCACAACUUCACUAAAACAUUCUCUACCCUUUCCCCCUAGCUUGUUUAUUUAUGGCUCUACCCGUAACUAGCUUUAAUAGAAUAGCUAACAACCCUUAACAAAUUGAGUGACUCAUCAUAAUUCUGGAAACUACUAGUGCCCUGCUGUUAUGUGGUUGAUUCUCCCAUGUGCCUUCUUGCAUUCGCUGUAUGUGAAUUUAAUUGGGGGUUUAUCAAAUAUCCCCAAUGCAAUCACCUGGUCCGCAAGGUGCAGAUAAGGAAAAUGUUGGUUGAUUAAGUCGAAAGGCUCCCAAGUGGCUUCCAUUGGUGAAAGUCCCUUCCAUUGAAUCAGUAUUUCCAUCAUGUUAGUCGUACCCUGAUUUUGAGGUCUGAAUCCCAAAACUUAUUCUGGCUCUGCAAGCAAUUCCCAAUCUUCGUCUAGUUGAAUGGGUGGUGGUGAGGCUAUAUGAGUAUCUCCCAAAAUUUUUCUUAACUAUGAAACAUGAAAAACUGGAUGGAUACGAGUGGUAACUGGCAAUGAAAGGCGAUAAGCCACUUUACCUACCCUUGUCGUCACCUGGAAAGGCCUGCAGUAUCAUGGCACCAACUUUUCAUUUGAGCAUGUCACCAAGGAUUUGUGUAUGUAUGGUCUUAUAAACCCAGUUGCCUACUGCAUAUUCAAACUCCCUUCUAUUUGGAUUAGCCGCUUCUUUCAUUUGCUGUUAUGCCUUGUGUAAAUGUAUUUUUAGCUCUUUCAAGAUUUUAUCUUGCUCCAAUAGUUGUUUUUUCAAUGAUAAGAUAGUUGUAGACCUUGCUUAAAAUGAAUUAGUUGCAGAGGGUUGUGCCCAUAUAAGAUACAGAAGCUGGUGAGUUGUGCAGAGACAUGAUAGGAAGUAUUAUAGGCCUAUUCAGCCCACGAUAGAAUAUGGUACCACUGCUUAGGUUUAACUGGUGCAAAACAUCUCAGGUAUGUCUCUACUUCCCUGUUUAGCACCUCGGACAACCUAUAUAUAUGAUUGUGGAUGGUAUGCUGAACUGUAUUUUAAGGUCAUCCCGUAUAAUCUGAAGAGUUCACUCCAAAAGUGGCUCAAAAACACCUUAGCUCUAUCAGAGACUAUGGAACGAGGCAGCCCAUGCAACUUAACCACAUCCCUUGUAAAAAUUACAGCAAUAGAUGGGGCUGAGAAUGGGUACUUCAGGCUGAUAAAAUGUGUGUACUUACUCAGGCGAUCCACCACUACUAAGAUAGAGUCAAACCCUUCUGAACGAGGUAACCUUUCUAUAAAAUCCAUCAAGACAUCUUCCCAAACCUGGUCGAGAAUGGGCAACAGUUGGAGCAAACCAGCAGGCGCAAGACUAGAAUAUUUGUGUUGCUGACAGAUUGUACAUUAAGCCACAUACUUUUGAAUGUCAUUCCUCAUAGCCUUCCAAAAAAAGGUUUUAGCCACUCUUUUAUAAUUUUUGAGAAAGUCCCCAUGUCGUUCCACCUUGCUGUCAUGCCCUUCCUACGAGGCAAUUUGCACAAAUGGAAAAUCCUUGGGAAUCACCAGCCCUCCACAGUACAAUAGGAGAUCACGAAGCUAUGAAUAUCCUGGUGGAACUACCUGUCCAUUACGCAAUGAGCUAGUUAAAGUGCCCGACUUGGUAUCCUCUUCUACCGCCCUCUUUAGUGCUAUUAGUUCCAUAGCACUUGGGACACUUAAGGUCAUUAUAGUCGCAGUUACAUCAAUUCUGGAGAGUGCAUCAGCUGCUCCAUUUUCGCGACCAGCUUUGUACUCAAUGUCAAAGUCGAAUCCCAAUAGUUUUGUCAGCCAUUUUUGAUAUUGUUGAUUUAUUUCUCGCUGUUCCAAUAAGAAUUUAAGGCUACGUUUGUAGGUUCAGACAACACACCUUCGACCUAAAAAAUAGUGCUUCCAUGUUUGUAUUGCCAAGACAAUAGCCAUGAGCUCCCUUUAGUAUAUCAACUUUUCUCGCGCCCACGGUGGAAGCACCUGACUGAAGUAUGCGAUUAGUUUCCUAUGUUGCAUCAGAACCAUCCCUCGAGGCAUCAAUUUCUACUGACUGGCUGCAUAAAAUUAGGCAACCCUAAAAUCGGCACCGUCGUCAUGGCAUAUUUCAGCUUUACGAAAGCAGCCUUUGCUUCUUCGUUCUACCUAAAGUUGUCUAUUUUUAACAGCUGCGUUAACAACCAAGAAAUGCUCACAUAUGAUUUAACGAAUCGGCGAUAAUACCCAGUCAGUCCCAAAAAUCCAUUGAAGUCCUUGAUCAAUUUUGGUUUGGGCCAAUUUCUCAUUGCUGCUAUCUUCAACUCAUCAGCCGAGACAUCCUUUGCUGAUAUGAUAUGCCCCAAGUAUUCCAAUUCUCGGUGGCCGAACAAAUAAUUCUUUUCGUUGGCGUAUAACUGGUUAUCUACUAGCACCCGUAGUACAACCCUUAAAUGAUUCCUGUGCUCCUCUAUCGUGCAGCUAUAUAAGAGAAUAUCAUCAAAAAACAUCAAGACGAACUUCCAGAGAUAGCCUCUAAUAAUUUCAUUCACAAGUGACUGGAAAGUUGCUGGGGCGUUUGUUAAACCGAAGGGUAUGACAAGAAACUCAUAAUGUCCUUCAUGAUUUUGGAAGGCUAUUUUCGAAAAUUCUUCAGAGUGCACCUUUAUUUGAUGAUACCCGGACUUCAAGUCAAUUUUAAAAAUAUCGUAAUGCCAUUGAGCUCAUCUAAUAGUUCAUCUAUUAAUGGAAUUGGGAAAUUGUUCAGGACUGUGACUUUGUUCAAGACCCGAUAAUCAACACAAAAUCUCAAACUUUUUCUUUAUUAAAAAUACCGGACUUGAAAAAUGGCUAGUGCUCUACUAAAUAAAUCCUGUUGCAAUCAUUUUUCGGACCAAUCUCUCUAUCUCGUUCUUUUUGAAGUAGAGAUAGUGGUAUGGUUAGGGGCGGAGCCCCAUUAGGCCCAGCCCGCACUGAACUUUUGGGCUCCAUUAGGCCCAAAAUUUUUUUUUUUUUUGUUAAAGCCCUAUUAAGCAAUUUUGCCCAAGCCCCAGCCCAUUUGCCUCAGCCCAUUACCCGUAGCCACUACCUAGACCCGAUUUCAUUCCAAAUUUCCAAUCAAACCGUAUUCAUUCAAAUCAAAAAUCAAAAAAAACCAAACCCUUCUCCCUUCUUCGCCUCUAUCUCUACCGUCGAGUGUCGACCGGCCGCCAAAUCGCCGACCUUGCUCCACAGCCUGCACUCCAACUCGCCAGACGCCGGCUUCUAGACUGUAGUUCCCGUCCAGUCCACCGCCAAGUGCCAAGUGCCAACUGCCGCGACCGCGAAGAAGAAGUCCGAAACUGGAGAAGCCCGAUUUCCCGAAGCUGCCGGAGCCCAAAAGAACGAAGAAGCUGUACAAUAAAAAGAUAAAGGCGAUUACUGGCGAAGCCCAACCUGCUGCCGUGCUGCGAAGUAAGUUUGGAGUUUAAUGUGGAUUUUCAGUUCCUUGAUCAGUUGAUUGAAGUUUAAUGUGGAUUUUCACUAUCUAUAUGAUAUGACUAUAUUUGUCAAUUGUCAUUACUUUCUUUCUGCUGAUUUUUGAUUGUGAGAAUUGAGAAAUGAUUUUGUAUUAUCCGCCCCUGGUUGAGACUUGAGAGGUUAUGGCCGGUUUUCAUUAUUUCAUACUUCAGAGCUCUGUUUUAAUCUUGAUGGGGGUAGAAUCGGUAGAAAUAGAAUGGUAGAUUGCUUGGUUUGGUAUUGGUAAAAUCAAAAUGAAGCACUAGCUUAUGGGAAAUGAAACAAUGAAUACAAUUUGUGGCUUUAAUUACUUGCAAUGUACAAUAUGUGCAAGUGUGCAACUGAAAGAUGUUUAUAUGUAUGCAGUAUGCUGAUGGUCAACUGAAAUUGUGAAUUGGAUUGUGAAAUAGUGUAAAAUGUAAAUUGCAUUGUGAAAUUGCGAAUUGGAAAGUACUCAUGCAAUGUUUAUAAUGGACAGAUAUGUACAAUUCCAUUGGAUACUGCAAGGUUAGGCUUCACUUUCUCGUACCCAUUCCCUUGAAACUUCCACUUUCUCAGAGCCUCAAAUUGAACUGAUGCAAAUGGGAAAAGGCUGUGAUGAAAGGGUUUGAUUGCUCUACCAGAUCUUAAUUUUCGGUUUCAUUUUUUCAUACUUCUUUUCUUUCAUACAAUAGAGGUAUAUGAUUGGAAAGGUAUCUUGAAGUGAUAAUUAUAAUUAUCGGGGAACUUAAAUGCUUUUUUGUCAACUGUUUUUGUUUGCUUGCUGAUAUAUCUACUAACCAUCUUAAUAUGUGAAAGAUAUAUGGAAGCAAAUUAUGUCAUUUAGAUUAUAAGGUAUCAAUUCAUUUUAUUUGUAAUUCAUGUAACACAAAGGUAUGUACAAAACUUCGAAUUGCUAAGGAUGCUUUUGAUCUUGUUUCUGGUUUUGUAACCAUUGGUGAGGGUUAAUCGUUGUGCUUGAUGUGUAGAUAAAAAAAAAAAAAAAAAAAAAGCUCAUGGUAGUAGUUCACAUGAUUGUGGUGGUGGUUCUGCAUCACUUGGGAGUAGGUUCUUUGAUCAUUUUCAUGGAAGUUUCAAUUGAUGUACCUCAUUUCCUUUUGUCUGUAGAAGUUAGAGCCUCCAAUAGUCUGAUUAAAUAUUUCUGUAACAUUCUUUAUUUUGUUUCAAACUCUAAGAUUAAGGAAUU